ensembl:lncRNA
GCCCUAGGUCAGUGAUACUCCACCAAUACUAGCCCUAGGUCAGUGAUACCCCACCACUACGACCCUAGGUCCGUGCUCUCACACAGUCAGUGUACUCCACCCUACUACACCCCUAGGUCAGUGUCUACUCCACCACUACUACGCCGUGAUACUCCACCACUACUCCCUAGGUCAUGAUACUCACCACUAACUACCCUAGGUCAGUGAUACUCCACCACUACCCCUAGUCAGUGAUACUCCCACUACUCCCUAGGUCAGUGAUACUCCACCACUACCCCUAGGUCCGUGAUACUCCACCACUACUCCUAGGUCAGUGAUACUCCCACCACUACCCUAGGUCAGUGAUACUCCCCCACUACUGCCCUAGUCAGUGAUACUCCACCACUACCCUACGGUCAGUGAUACUCCCACUACUACUCCCUAGGUCGUGAUACUCCACCACUACUCACUAGGUCAUGAUACUCCACCACUACUACUCCUAGGUCCGUGAUACUCCACCACUACUCCCUAGGUCAGUGAUACUCCACCACUACUCCUACUAGUGUCAGUGUACUCCACCACUACCUCCCCUAGGUCAGUGAUACUCCACCACUACUCCUCCUAGGUCAGUGUACUCACCCCUACUCCCUAGGUCAGUGAUACUCCACCACUACUCCCUAGGUCAGUGAUACUCCACCACUACUCCCUAGGUCAAGGUGAUACUCCACCACUACUCCCUAGGUCAGUGAUACUCCACCACCACUACUCCCUAGGUCAGUGAUCCACCACUACUCCCUAGGUCAGUGAUUACUCCACACUACUCCCCUAGGUCCAGUGAUACUCCCCAUACUACUACUCCUAGGUCAGUGAUACUCCACUACUACUACUCAGGUCAGUGUACUCCACACUACUACUCCCUAGGUCAGUGAUACUCCACACUACUACUCCUAGGUCAGUGAUACUCCACACUACUACUCCCUAGGUCAGUGACUACUCCACUACACUACUCCCUAGGUCAGUGAUACUCCACCAUACUACUCCCUAGGUCGUGAUACUCCACCACUACUCCCUAGGUCAGUGAUACUCCACCACUACUCCCUAGGUCACGUGAUACUCCACCACUACUCCUAGGUCAGUGUACUCCACCACUACUCCUGUCAGUGAUACUCCACCACUACUCCCUAGCUCAGUGAUACUCCACCACUACUCCCUAGGUCAGUGAUACUCCACCACUACUCCCUAGGUCAGUGAUACUCCACCACUACUCCCUAGGUCAGUGAUACUCCACCACUACUCCCUAGGUCAGUGAUACUCCACCACUACUCCCUAGGUCGGGGUUUAGUUGUUUUGAAGUAGUUUAAACAACUAAAAGCAGAUUCUAGGUAUGUAGAAAUGACUACAGUGCCUUCCGAAAGUGUUCACGCCCCUCGACUUCUCCCAUUUUGUUGUUACAGCCCGAAUUAAAACACACACAAUAACCCAUAAUGACAAAGUGAAAACAUGUGUUGAACAUUUGAACAAAUUAACUCUUAGAAAUAUCUAAUUUGCAUAAGUAUUCAAACCCCUGAGUCAUACUUUGUAGAAGCAACUUU